rnacentral:lncRNA from 1 species
GGCCGUGGAGGAACAACUGAGCCUGAAAAAAUGCCUGGACAGAGUUUUUUGGAGUUAUGCUUUCAUAACUUCUUAAGCUGUGCCCUGCUCAGCACUUUAACCCCAAAGUCCUGCACAGCUGACCAUCCCCUCAGUGCUGAAGAUGGAUAUGUCCUGUUGCCUUCUCGACCCAAAUGCAAGGGAAGAUCUUCUGAGAUGUCCACGCCACAGUGCUGGUACACAGAACUCCACAGCCAACAUGCAAAAAAGAAAAAAGAGUACGCCGCAAGUCGCGGCCUUCCCGAGGGCUUCUGAGAAAUGGAUGCCCCAGAGAUAAACAAAAAUCUGUCAGUGGGGGAAGCGAAGCCAAGUCUCUGAAUCUUCCAGUGGAGAGAAUGAAGAUACCUGAAAAGGGGUGGGAG